rnacentral:tRNA from 2 species
GGGUCGUUAGCUCAGUUGGUUAGAGCAGAGGACUCAUAAUCCUUUGGUCGCUGGUUCGAGUCCAGCACGACCCACCA